rnacentral:rRNA from 1 species
UUGGAAGUAAAAAGUCGUAACAAGGUCUCCGUUGGUGAACCAGCGGAGGGAUCAUUACUGAGUUUACGCUCUAUAACCCUUUGUGAACAUACCUAUAACUGUUGCUUCGGCGGGUAGGGUCUCCGCGACCCUCCCGGCCUCCCGCCUCCGGGCGGGUCGGCGCCCGCCGGAGGAUAACCAAACUCUGAUUUAACGACGUUUCUUCUGAGUGGUACAAGCAAAUAAUCAAAACUUUUAACAACGGAUCUCUUGGUUCUGGCAUCGAUGAAGAACGCAGCGAAAUGCGAUAAGUAAUGUGAAUUGCAGAAUUCAGUGAAUCAUCGAAUCUUUGAACGCACAUUGCGCCCGCCAGCAUUCUGGCGGGCAUGCCUGUUCGAGCGUCAUUUCAACCCUCAAGCUCUGCUUGGUGUUGGGGCCCUACAGCUGAUGUAGGCCCUCAAAGGUAGUGGCGGACCCUCCCGGAGCCUCCUUUGCGUAGUAACUUUACGUCUCGCACUGGGAUCCGGAGGGACUCUUGCCGUAAAACCCCCCAAUUUUCCAAAGGUUGACCUCGGAUCA